GUUGAACGCUGGCGGCGUGCCUAACACAUGCAAGUCGAGCGAAGCGGGGACGGGUGAGUAACACGUGGAAAACCUCCUAUAGGAAUGGGAUAACUUCGGGAAACCGGAGCAAAACCCGUUACUGAUCGAUGGAGCCACGCUGCAUUAGCUAGUUGGGAAGGUAACGGCUGACCAAGGCAACGAUGCCUAGCCGGCCUGAGAGGAUGACCGGCCACACUGGAACUGAGACACGGUCCAGACUCCUACGGGAGGCAGCAGUGGGGAAUCUUCCGCAAUGGGCGAAAGCCUGACGGAGCAACGCCGCGUGAGUGAUGAAGGUCUUCGGAUCGUAAAACUCUGUUAUUAGGGAAGCGGUACCUAAUCAGAAAGCCACGGCUAACUACGUGCCAGCAGCCGCGGUAAUUC
rnacentral:rRNA from 1 species